rnacentral:rRNA from 1 species
AACGAACGCUGGCGGCAGGCUUAACACAUGCAAGUCGAGCGCCCCGCAAGGGGAGCGGCAGACGGGUGAGUAACGCGUGGGAAACUACCCUUUGGUACGGAAUAACACAGAGAAAUUUGUGCUAAUACCGUAUGUGCCCUUCGGGGGAAAGAUUUACCGCCAUAGGAUGUGCCCGCGUAGGAUUAGCUAGUUGGUGUGGUAAUGGCGCACCAAGGCGACGAUCCUUAGCUGGUCUGAGAGGAUGACCAGCCACACUGGGACUGAGACACGGCCCAGACUCCUACGGGAGGCAGCAGUGGGGAAUAUUGGACAAUGGGCGCAAGCCUGAUCCAGCCAUGCCGCGUGAGUGAUGAAGGCCUUAGGGUUGUAAAGCUCUUUCACCCACGACGAUAAUGACGGUAGUGGGAGAAGAAGCCCCGGCUAACUUCGUGCCAGCCGCCGCCGUAACAC